rnacentral:rRNA from 1 species
UACGGAGGAUGCAAGCGUUAUCCGGAAUGAUUGGGCGUAAAGGGUCCGCAGGUGGCAAUGUGUGUCUGCUGUCAAAGAAUGAGGCUUAACCUCAUCAAGGCAGUGGAAACUACAUAGCUAGAGUACGGUCGGGGUAGAAGGAAUUCCUGGUGUAGCGGUGAAAUGCGUAGAGAUCAGGAAGAACACCGGUGGCGAAAGCGUUCUGCUAGGCCUGUACUGACACUGAGGGACGAAAGCUAGGGGAGCGAAUGGG